rnacentral:rRNA from 1 species
UUCUAUCAAAAUACCCUAAAGGCACCAGAUCCCAUUUGAUCUUGGAAGUUAAGCAGGGCCAGACCCAUUUGUAUUUGGAUGGGAGACUUCCAACAAAUGCCAGAUGCCAUUGGCU